GCUAACCAGAGGAACUCUGUCUUGAAAAAAACAAUGUUUGGUUUGUUUUGGUUUUGAUACAAGGUCUUACUAAUGCUGGUUUCAAACUCAUGAUCGUUCUGCUUCUGUUCCCAAAUGUGCUGUUAUAGGCAUAUGCUACCAAGCCUGACUUGUUAGAGACAUCUAUAGAUUAGAUCAGGGAAAGUCUAUGAUAAUCUUCUCUUCAAAUUGCAUGUAGUUAAAUCUUAACAACUAAUCUAAGUUGAAUUUAAGUAGGUGCAGUUCUCUGACCCCUCAGUCUCAUUUCAAAAGUCUGUGAAUUCUGUGGGACUUACAGAUUGCCAGUGUUCCUCCUACAGUCUGAGUUCUGUGGCACCUACAGCUUCAGUGUUCCUCCUGUUUGAAGGAACUGUUUUUCUGAUUUGAUUUUUUUUCUUAAUUUUCAUUUUCCAGUUCUUAUUUAUUUAGUACUUUUUUUUUGUACCAGACAUUGAGCUUUUAACCUACAUUGUUUAAGGAAUUUUAUAGUUUGCCAUAAAUUAUGGGUGUACAAACAUGGAGAUUGCACCAAACCUCCUCUCCCAUCCUGGAUAACAUAGUCUUGACAGUAAAGACUCAUUUCAGUGAUUAAUACAAGAAGCCCUUAAAGACAGGAAGGAGAUGAACAGAUGCAUGUGACAUUAAAUUGGUAUGUGAAAAUAACAUUUGAGGUCUACCAUGUACUAAAUACUUUAUACAUGGUGUGCUUAUAUCUUAUUGUUUGAAAUAUGCUCUAUGUAACCCUGGCUGGCCUGGACUUGCUAUAUGGACCAGGCUGGCCUUGAAUUUAAGGGAUCAGCCUGCCUUUGCUAGAAGUAAAGGCUGUUAGGCCUCAGGGUACGUGGCAUAAUCUUUCUGUCAUUGAGAUAAACAAAUUUAACAAAAGUAGCCUGCAUUAUACAGAAAACAACAAAAUUUUAAAAACAAACAUACUAUAAAUCACUUGAAAGUCUUUUCCAGUACUAAAAUUUGAAACUGGGCAUUUUUGUUUUCACUUUGUAUCAUUAGACAAACCUCACUCAGUUGGCUACAGGUCACAAGUCUCCUGAGACAGACCUUGAACUUGUAGCCCUACUGCUUCAGACUCCUGAGGCUAAAAUUACUGGCCUAUGUCACCAGGUCCAACUCAGUCACUAGAAUGGUUCAGAAUGUUUGUUCCUGUUGACCUCCCCUUUAAGGACAAAGACAGUAUGGUGCCUCUGUAUGGUAUUGGAAGAGUCAGGAUUUUUCUAGAGUCCUGAGAUAGUAGUACUUUUUAAAGAAGUUUAAACAUAUGAAGUAGUAGGGUUCACUACAGUGUGUGUGAUUAUUCUUUGUUCUAGUUUAUCCCUGCCCUUCCUUGUCCCCCUCCAUCCUCCCUGCCCCUCAGGCUGGUGUCCUCCCUCCUAAAAUAGCUCCGCCUUCUGCUUUCAUAUCUCAUACAGUCUAUAUCAUGCCAUGAUAUUGUUACUCCCCCACUUAAGAUCUGUGCACACUCCAUGGUCUCUUAAACAUUUCCUUUUGUUUAAGACAUGAUCUCAUGUAACCCAGGCUGACCUCAAGCUCACUAUGUAGCUGAGGUAGUUUUUGAACUCCUGAUCCUUCUGCCUGUCUCACAAGUAUUGGGAUUACAAGUGCCAUAAUGCCAGGCUGAAUUCUUUUUUCUCUCAGUAUUUAAAAUGUUAUGUGUAAAAGUGUUUUGCCUUGGUGUAUGGAUGUGUAUUACAUGCAAUGCCUGGUGCUCAUGGAAGUCAGAUGAGGAAAUCAGAACCUCUGGAAUGAAGUUAGAGAUGGUUAUUAGCCUCUCUCUGUUGGUGUUGUGAAACAACCAAGGUCCUCUGAAGAGAACAAGUGUUUUCAACUGCUGUACUACCUUCCUAACUCCUCAGGCCGUAGUUCUCAAUGAUAUGGGUGCACGAAGCUCUUAAGGAUUUUACAAAAGUUUUGGAUCCAUUCAAGAUAUUACUCCUGCCCCCAUACAUAUAUAGAAAGGGAAUUGGCCAAGUCCCGGACACUACAUCUAUGUACAAAUGCUUGUAGCUCUUCUGGGAUGCAGUAAGGUGCAUGACUCAGGUAAAACAGCCCUGGAAGUGUGUGAGUAUACACAUAGCCUGGAGGAAGUUCCUUUCAUCUGCAUGAUACUGUUAAAUGCUGCCACACCUUAGUGGUACUCUGUGAACUUGAGAAAACUUACACCAGGCAUCCUGAUGGGUCACUGAAUGGCAUGCUGUGUUUUUCUCCUAUAAGUAGAAAAUUUAUCCAUUUUGUGUUUAGAUUUAUGAAUGUGUGCUAUAACCAAAUGGUUGGUAUUACUUUCUUUUAACCUUUACAGUGCACAGUGUACAGUCUUAAAGAAAUGAGGAUACAGCAUAUUUUGGACUUCGUAGUGAGUGGUUACUCUCAUUUACUACCACUCUCCCCUCUGAAAUUCACUUGGAAUCCUUUAGAUCAGCCCCUCUGAAAUUUUCUUGGAUAAACAAUGGUGACAAAAAAUUGUCUUGCCUCAUAGUGGAUAACAAUGGCAUGUAGAACAAGUAGUCUCUUUGAAAUAUGGCAUAGCCCACUAAGUGGCGAGGGUCAGUCUGGCUAAAGGAGAACAGUGGCACACAUACACCAUGUUUUCUCAUCCCUGUUUGAUGAUCCUCUUGUCAAGGAAUCUUCAAGAAAUACCUGCUGACAUUUAACCAGAGCAGCUGUUUUAUCUGCUUACUGAAGCUCCAGAAGCAUUCACCUUCUACCUGAGAGCAAGCCUGCCAGUCAAGUAGGUUUAGGAUGGAAGGAAUGCAAAGUAUUUACUGUGCUCAAAGUAUAGAACAGGGAGUGAUUCGUGUUCUGAUCACCUGAUAGGUGCCGAGGUCUUGUAAUUUUCAUAUCAGCUUUUGGAGACAAACAAUAGGCUUUCAUUCACACUCGCUAGGCUGCACAGUGUAGCUAACGUCUGAAUGCUUACUGUGCAUAGAGUCACUGUCCCAAGGGUCCUUUCCUGCAUUUCCCAUUUGUUUCCUCUCAUCUGAUCUUUCUAAACAGCCCAGAAGAGUCUUAAUAUUGUCACCCCAACUUGUUAAUAAGAAAACUAAAAUGUAAAGCUAUUAGACAAUUUACAAAACAGUAUUGCAAAACUGGGAUUUUGACCCCUGGUUGAUUUUAAUCCACUUCAACUUCCUCCUCAUAACCUCUGGCAUUGCCAUCAAUCAUCAUUUGUAAGUGCGGCUGGCAAUUUUGGUAGUCAGGGAAGCAUUCAGGGGAUUCACUGCUGUGAGACAUGGUGCCUUCCAUGUCGGGAGGACUCUGGUAAGAUCAGGUUGGAAGGAUAUGGCAGACUGAGGAAGGCAGAGGUGGUGUAGUCAGACCUGUUUAGGAUCUGAUUACAUCUGAGCCUCUGGCCCUUUUUGCCUGCCAGCUGACUCAGAGCUGGCAGAUGGGCCAGUGCCUGGGCAGGUUGAUUUCAUAGCCUUAUACUUCAAAGGAUCUGAUUCCUGGCACUUCUGUACACUGCUUUCCAAAGAGCACAGCCUUGUGGGGGAGGUAACGCUAGAGUCUCCUGGUACAAAAGCCCUAGGCAGUGUUUGCUCGGAGUUCAAAUGUAUGUGGCUUAUUUGGGGUAAGUCAGUAAAAACCACAGGCCCAGCUCUAAGCAGGCUGAACGUUGGUCACUUGAACCUUUAAUGUGGUGCAGGCAACAAGUUUGUGACUCCUAGAGUGUCUUCAAGUGUCCCAAGUGUCUUCAGCAUCCAAUUAUAGGUAAAUUACAAGGACUCGGUUUUCUUAUGUGUGACAUUUAUAUUUUUGUUUAUUUAUUUGGGCAGGAUCUUGCUAUAUAGUUGGCUGGCAUAAAUGCACUAUAUGGAACAAGCUGGCCUUAAACUUGGAAUGACCCUCCUGUGUCCACGCUAAGACUAUAGGCAUAUACCACCUUGCCUGGCUGAAAUCGAAUUUUUGUCAGUCCUUCAUAUGAUUGUGGAUAUUCAAAAAGGAGUUUUGAUGAGGACCCAGUGAUGAUGGUGUACCAGAAACCAGAGGCCUUGAAACCAGACCAAUGACUCAUUGCAAUGAACAUUUUGUGGACAGGGCUGAUUGGACAAAAGGAGUAUACUGCAUGACAUAUCGCAGCACCCGAUGCCACUAGGAUGAAUGACAAGAUGUCCCUCGAAUAUGGAAUUUAGGAACUUGAAGAAGAGUGGGCGGAAGGAAACACAGUCCUGCCCAACACUUUGUUGUUGGAAGAUACAGCACUUCCAUCUCACCUCAAGCAGUGUCAGAGAGCCUGGAAUUCCAGCCCAUGGUUCACCUGUGCAUCAUCUUCCCUGCUGUGAAAGGUGGCCUGCCUCAUCAUGUGGCUUUUCCUGGAGAGAUUGAAAAGAGACCACAGACUGUUUCACCCAAGUCUCGCUUGGUGAACCCGUGAGUUUAUGGGCUUCUUUACAGGGCCAUGGCUGACUCACAGACAGCUACAUCCCUGAAAAGCAUCUUCCGGGGAUGGGUGAUGAACGCUCCAGCCUUGGAGCCUCCUCCCUAAUUGGCAGACAGUUCAGCUGACCUGAGAGUCUGCACUGCCCAGUGAUUGUUUACCACUAAUAUAUAGCCUCAGGGGAGGGGCCUUGUGAGACCUGUAACUCUCUGAGCUUCCUGAGUCUUCGAAGUUUUGGGAGUCCUGUGGGCCUCCUUUGUCCCUCCAGGAAGAAAUCUUUCAAUUUGAAGGAAAUCACUGCAGAGUAGCACUAACGUGUGUUCAUGUGAGAGGUGACGCCUCCACUCGGAGCCUCUUUUCAGUGCCUGCUUACCUCCCCAGCUGUGGACAACAUCUGCAGAUGCUCUUUCUGAGCUUCAGAGCCACACUUGCAGCUCUUGAUUGGGUUCCAUGGCCUGAGUCAAGUCGCCCCUCCCCCCCCAUCUCCAGAGGUCAUCUAGUCCUCCUCUUUUGUGAUUUCCAACACCGCCUUCUUCAUGGGGCAUCUAGUGCCAAGGCCUGAGUCCAGCACACAGUGGCUCCCACAGCACAUUUAAUAGCUGGCUUAGAGGAAUUACGUUCAGACUCAUUAUAAGUUCCCAGCAGGACAUCCCCAAAGUAUCUAGUUGGGGCCAAGUGUUGUAACAUUCACCAUUGAUUCUACUACCUGCAGAGCUGUGAACCUGAGGCCAGCCUGGUCUACAUAUUGAGUCCCAGGUCAACCAGGGCUACAUAGUGAGACCCUGUCUGGAAAAACAAAACAAACAACCAAGUUGAUUAAUCUAUUUAUACCAUGUUUCUCAUCUCUUCUUCCUUUAUUGGUAACUUGUCUUCUUUGGGAAGUUGACAUUUCCUGCUGUUUUUUCCCUUCCCAACUAUUGGCAAUCCUGUACAGGAACAAUAUUACUUUUAUGAAAAGCUGUUUUUAAUAAUAAUUUAAAGUAUCAACAGAGGCCUAAUCAUCCCUCUGACGCUUUUCCCAGUUGUAAACUUAUAAUUUUCUAGGAAUCUCAGAAGAAAUCCCAUUUACAGAAAAAAAAGAUUCACCCCCUUGCGAAGCCUUUUUGGCACCAUUUUUAUCUCAUCUGACUGAAAUCCUUUCAGAGGCACUGCCACAGCCAUCCCAUAAUCCAUUGCUCAACAGACAUUCCAUAAUCCAUUGCUCCACAGUCAUCCCAUAAUCCAUUGCCUUUGAAGAUGAGGAAAAAGCCUGGCAGUGGUGGUGCAUGCCUUUAAUGCCAUCACUCGGGAGGCAGAGGUGGGCAGAUCUCUUUGAGUUCAAGGCCAGCCUGGUCU